rnacentral:rRNA from 1 species
GAUGAACGCUGGCGGCGUGCUUAACACAUGCAAGUCGAACGAGAAAUGGAGACGGAAACCUUCGGGCGGAAGGCUUCAUUUCGAGUGGCGGACGGGUGAGUAACGCGUGGGUAACCUGCCUCAUACAGGGGGAUAACAGUUGGAAACGACUGUUAAUACAGCAUAAGACCACAGCACCGCAUGGUGCGGGGGUAAAAACUCCGGUGGUAUGAGAUGGACCCGCGUUCGAUUAGCCAGUUGGCGGGGUAACGGCCCACCAAAGCGACGAUCGAUAGCCGAUCUGAGAGGAUGACCGGCCACAUUGGGACUGAGACACGGCCCAAACUCCUACGGGAGGCAGCAGUGGGGAAUAUUGCACAAUGGGGGAAACCCUGAUGCAGCGACGCCGCGUGAGUGAAGAAGUACUUCGGUAUGUAAAGCUCUAUCAGCAGGGAAGAAAAUGACGGUACCUGAGUAAGAAGCCCCGGCUAACUACGUG